rnacentral:misc_RNA from 1 species
UCCGGCUUGUCGCCGGCGGUCCCUUUAGAGUGCCCAACUGAAUGAUGGCAACUAAAGGCGAGGGUUGCGCUCGUUGCGGGACUUAACCCAACAUUUCACGGCACGAGCUGACGACAGCCGUGCAGCAUCUGUGCGCGCUCCCUUGCGGGUCCUCCCCGUUUCCGGGUCGUACCACGCGCAUGUCAAGCCCGGGUAAGGUUCUUCGCGUUGCGUCGAAUUAAACCACACGCUCCGCUGCUUGUGCGGGCCCCCGUCAAUUCCUUUGAGUUUUAGCCUUGCGGCCGUAGUCCCCAGGCGGCGCACUUAUCGCGUUGGCUGCGGCACCGAGGGGGUCGAUACCCCCGACACCUAGUGCUCAUCGUUUACGGCGUGGACUAC